GACGAACGCUGGCGGCGUGCUUAACACAUGCAAGUCGAACGGAAAGGCCCAGCUUGCUGGGUGCUCGAGUGGCGAACGGGUGAGUAACACGUGGGUGAUCUGCCCCUAACUUCGGGAUAAGCUGGGGAAACUGGGUCUAAUACCGGAUAGGACAAUCGUUUAGUGUCGGUUGUGGAAAGUUUUUUCGGUUAGGGAUGAGCCCGCGGCCUAUCAGCUUGUUGGUGGGGUAAUGGCCUACCAAGGCGUCGACGGGUAGCCGGCCUGAGAGGGUGGACGGCCACAUUGGGACUGAGAUACGGCCCAGACUCCUACGGGAGGCAGCAGUGGGGAAUAUUGCACAAUGGGCGCAAGCCUGAUGCAGCGACGCCGCGUGGGGGAUGACGGCCUUCGGGUUGUAAACCUCUUUCGACAGGGACGAAGCUUUGGUGACGGUACCUGUAUAAGAAGCACCGGCUAACUACGUG
rnacentral:rRNA from 1 species